AACGAACGCUGGCGGCAUGCCUAACACAUGCAAGUCGAACGAGACCUUCGGGUCUAGUGGCGCACGGGUGCGUAACGCGUGGGAACCUGCCCUUAGGUUCGGAAUAACUCCCCGAAAGGGGUGCUAAUACCGGAUAAUGUCUUCGGACCAAAGAUUUAUCGCCUUUGGAUGGGCCUGCGUUGGAUUAGCUAGUUGGUAGGGUAAAAGCCUACCAAGGCGACGAUCCAUAGCUGGUCUGAGAGGAUGAUCAGCCACACUGGGACUGAGACACGGCUCAGACUCCUACGGGAGGCAGCAGUGGGGAAUAUUGGACAAUGAGCGAAAGCCUGAUCCAGCAAUGCCGCGUGAGUGAUGAAGGCCUUAGGGUUGUAAAGCUCUUUUACCCGGGAUGAUAAUGACAGUACCGGGAGAAUAAGCUCCGGCUAACUCCGUG
rnacentral:rRNA from 1 species